rnacentral:lncRNA from 1 species
AUGCCUUUCAGAAGUCAAGCUCAAGCAGAAGUUCAGAGGUUAAGAGACCAGAUAGCUCAGAUGCAAGCGAGCAUAGUUGAGUAAAUUUCCGAGGUUUAAAGAAAAUAUGAAGAACUCAACAACAACUUAGAGCGGAGGCAGUAGAGAGGGAGGGAGCGACAGCAACGAGGGAGGCAGUGACAACAGCGAGAGAGGCAGAGGCAGCA